rnacentral:rRNA from 1 species
AGUGAACGCUGGCGGUAUGCCUAACACAUGCAAGUCGAACGGCAACACAGGAAGAUCGUGCUCUUACGGGUGGCGAGGGACGGACGGGUGAGAAAUAGAUAAGAAACUACUUAUUCGGGGGUGAUAACGGAGAGAAGCUGACGCUAAUAGCGCAUACAACCUACGGGUGAAAUCAGGAGAGCUUGGGACCUUGGGCGAUUGAAUUAGCCGGUGUCGGAUUAGCUAGUUGGUUGGGUAACGGCCCACCAAGGCGACGAUACGUAGCUGGUCUGAGAGGAUGAUCAGCCACACUGGAACUGAGACACGGUCCAGACUCCUACGGGAGGCAGCAGUGGGGAAUCUUCCGCAAUGGGCGCAAGCCUGACCGAGCAACGCCGCGUGGGUGAAGAAGGCCUUCGGGUUGUAAAGCCCUUUUGUUGGGAAAGAACAGAUGUAGGUUAAUCUCUCGCCGUCUUGACGGUACCCAAACAAUAAGCCCCGGCUAACUUCGUG